rnacentral:lncRNA from 1 species
UAAAAAAAAACCACAAACAAUCAAUCAUAUUUUCCACUGCUAUUGGUUUCUCUAUUACACUGCCUAUAGGCAUUCUGCUUUGUGUCUGGGUACUGCCAUGCUUUAAGCUCUAUUGUGACACUAAGAAAAGCAUUCACUGGUGAUAGACACUGCAUUCCAUCUCUGGGCUGUGGUUUCCCCAGUAACACAGAGACCUGUUUCACUGUAUGGAGCAAAUGAACAAGCAGGGAGCUCCUUUUUAAGCGCUUUCUCUGCUGGCUUUGCUGGCACUAUUCCUGCUCCAGUUGUGCAGGGCAUUCCUAAGGCUUUCUAGAAAGAUUAGAGGAGCACCGAUUUGUCAGCAGGACAUUACAGUGGCAGACAAUGUAGAGAAGUCGGAGUCUGAUCAGUUCUAAUGGAAUCCCAGUGUGGUGCAGCAGACAUGGAGUGCCCACAUCAGUUCUGCAUCAAGCAGAGUUCCUCAGAAGGCUCCAUGGCAGAGCCUGAAACCCACAGCCUUACAGAUAAGAUGGCUCCACAGGAUCAGGCUAGAAUCUGUAUGACUGGAACCUAAUUCAAGGACAUCAAGAUUUGGAGAUACUAUCCUGCUGAUAUCAUUGAUCACCUAUUGAUUAGGAGCG